AGAGAAGGAAGUACACAAGUCAAGCCCAGACAAGUUUCUACUAGACAGACCAGCCAAGACAUACAUUUACUUGCAUCAGAAGUCACAGACCUCCCUCAUCUGUCUGAGAUUUGGAUCCAACAGCGCUGCUUCACCAUUGGGUUCUCCAUCUGAUGACCACUGCAAUGAUACAUCUGCCAAGAAAGACAUGUAGUGAGGACAGAGACUUGUCCUGAACCUGAACCUCAUAGUCACACAAGCAUCUGUAAGUCUGCUAAGCUACUGGAAGACUUUUCUUUAUCACCUUACUUCAAGCUGAGUAUUAUCUAUGCCAAGAUUAGCACUACUGAGAUCAGAGGUCCGUUCACCAUUCCAAGCCUAAGCGCAAAUAAUUCGCUGUCUGACACAUGACAUGUUCUCUCUUCUUUUCUGACCAAAUAACAGAAACACAAACCUACCCUGAUCUGCAAGGACUGCCAGUAAGUACACAACUGGAAAAUUCAGCCCCCACAGCAGCCUCUAAGACUGAAGAAAAAGACAUGAAGCUACGCAUAAACAGUCUAGAAUGUUCCAGAGUUCAAAAAGCAGCUUUGGAAAUCAUAAUACCUGUUCAAUCUCUGCUAUAAUACCCGUAACAGGUAUUGUCUUCACUGUUUAUUUUGCAGUGGUAGCUCAAUUCAGCUGAGCAGCUCUGUUGGCUUUUUGUAUUAAAUUUCAUGUCUGUUAACUUACAAUUUGUGGUCAGCGAGUCCUCCUGGUUCCUACCCAUGACAGGCAGACACUGUUGGAAGGAACCUUUCUGAUAGCCCAGAGAGAGCCCAUCCAUAUCACGGAAACAAUAAGACAGCGAAGUCCAUACCUCAUGGGAUAAAGAUGCUGAGAAACAGGCAGCAGGUCAAAGGCUGGAAACUCAAAAGCCUGCAAAUUUAAAUGCCAUGCAGGGAUUUUGCAUACUGCAGACUCUACUAAGAAAAUGGAGGUUAUUUGCCCUCUUUCUAAAGAGAUAAUUACCCAUGCCAUUGAGACAGAGUUCCUUGCAGAAAGAAAUGGCUAUUGUAGAGGUGAACCAGUUUUUCAAGUCUAACAAACAGAUCUCCUCCUGAGGCUACAUGGAUUGUCUUGUUAACUAACCAAGAGUCUCCUUGACAAAGAGGAUCUGGACCUACAAAAACAAGGUGGUGCUCACUAGCCACUUCAGAGUUAGAAGACAGAUGCAAAAACUGACUUCAGGAAUGUGAGGAGACUCCCGACUCUGGAGAAGCAGGCAUGUGCAAGGAUAUUGAGGAAGAAGAAAGACCCUGGACUGAUUAAAAAGGUCUGAUCAAAGCCUAAAGAACACUCAGAGCCAUGCCAAAAGUGAAGCAAGGUUAAGCGUAUGCAGAUGUUUUGCUGUUCUGUUUCAAUCUCUACAAGACCUCUUGGACUAUGUGAAGUAGAGAGAAGGCUUCACAAGACACUACUGCAGCUUUUGGCCAAACCAAAUACAACGAGAGAAGCCACUGAGUUGGUCCACCCAUCCAAAAGGAAGGAAUAAAACUCAUGCCGAGUAUCUUUUGACCAGACACAAGUAAGUGGAGUUUAAAACUGUACCACUCUGUCAGCUAGACUUGAGACAGGAAAAUCUCACACCUUCAGUCCUGGUUGCAGCCCAGACCAAAGUGCGGCUGGUGACGUAGCUGUACCACGUACUUGGCAAACCAGACUAGAGGCCUCCAUCACAUUGCUUUUGCCUCGCUAGAGAAGAGGUUCCAGCACCAAGCCACAGCUGAACUGGCUGCUGGAAAGAGGCAGGAUGGGAUGAGGAGAAGGAACCAGCUGCAUCUCUGUCUUCAGCAAACAGCCUACAUCUCCGGUACUGUCCAGCUAAAGCCUCUUAACAGGAGAAACAUAAUUGAAGGUUUUCUCGUUGUUGUUGUUUUAGUGUUGGUGGUGUCAUUUUGUGGUCUUGCUUUUGUUUUCAUUAGGGUGCAGCGUUUUUUUCAGCUCAGAAAGAAUUCUGGUUCCAAAUUGCCAUGAUAAACACUUCGGUGUCUUUUAAUGUAGUCUGAAACAGGUUUGUGCAAUUCAGCUGUGAUCAUAUCCUCACCCAAGUGCCUAUUAUAGAAAAAAAUGCAUGGGAGAUUGCUGUACACGGAGAAAGAAAGGAAAAAAAAGAACCAUCAUGCAUGUGUAUAAAAUACAGGACAUAUCAUCCUUUUUUUUACAUAUCUACAUGCCACAAAGCACCAAUGAGAAAAAAAAAAACUUAAAAUAUUGAAAAGCAAAUAUACUAAACCGCAGACAACCAAGGUUUUCCUCAUGUCUAAUUCUUAAAUAAAGCAUUUCAGAACAUG